rnacentral:rRNA from 1 species
GUAGGGAAUAUUGGGCAAUGGAUGCAAGUCUGACCCAGCCAUCCCGCGUGCCGGAAGAAGGCCCUCAGGGUUGUAAACGGCUUUUGACGGUGAAGAAUCGACAGGAUGCGUCCUGUUUUGACGGUAGCCGUUGAAUAAGCACCGGCUAACUCCGUGCCAGCAGCCGCGGUAAUAAGGAGGGUGCGAGCGUUGUCCGGAUUUAUUGGGUUUAAAGGGUGCGUAGGCUGGAAGGUCAGUCAGCGGUGAAAAGCUGUCGCUUAACGAUAGUCUUGCCGCAGAUACUUCCUUUCUUGGAUGAGGAGGAGGCCACUGGCACGGAUGGUGUAGCGGUGAAAUGCAUAGAUAUCAUCCAGAACACCGAUUGCGAAGGCAGGUGGCUGUACCUUAAUCGACGCUGAUGCACGAAAGCAUGGGGAGCAAACAGGAUUAGAUACCCGGGUAGUCC